rnacentral:lncRNA from 1 species
UGAGGAGAUAAGUGACAUAAACUGGCAUGUUCUGAAAGAAUCACUCUGGAUGCUGUGUGGAGAAAACACUGAAAAGUCUGUUUCCUUCUUCUCCAUUCCACAUAUUAUAAUGUGGCAACUACAUAACUCAUAAUUAUAGUCUUUAUAGGGGGAGAAUAAUUGACUCCAUUCAAGUGUUCGCUCCUGUUUCAAUCAACUAUGGCUGAAGAGUGAGGAGACAUUUGGAAUAAAUAUGGCUUCUGGGGGCCCAUUCCUAUGGAUCAGCAGCUGGCUUCUGGAGGCCCAUUCCUGUGAAUCGUCGAUCUCAUAGAAGAUAAUAUUGUUAGAAGGCUUACCUCAUUGAUGCUGAACAUCCUAAAAAGCUUCUGCUGCUUUGAGUCACUGAAAAAGACCAAGAAACAUGAAUUUAAAAAAAAAUUUCAAAUGUUAUAAAAUAAAUAAUAUGAACUCAUUAUACCUACAAUGAAUAAUUUAAAUUCUUCUUUGGUAGUCCAGGUUUAGAAACUAUGAAAACCCUAGAAGAAAACCUAGGCAAUGCCAUUCAGGACAUAGGCACGGACAAAGAUUUCAUGACGAAGACGCCAAAAACAACUGCAACAAAAGCAAAAAUUGACAGAUGGGAUCUCAUUAAACUAAAGAGCUUCCAUACAGCAAAAGAAGCUACCAUGAGAGUGAACAGACAACCUAUAGAAAGGGAGAAAAAUUUUGCAAUCUGUUCAUCUGACAAAGGUCUAAUAUCCAGCAUCUACAAGGAACUUAAAUAAAUUUACAAGAAAAAAACAAACCCAUUAGAAAAUGGGCAAAGGACAUGAAAAGAUACUUCUCAAAAGACAUACAUGUGGCCAACAAUCAUACAAAAAAAACCUCAACAUCACUGAUGAUUAGAAAAAUGCUAAUCAAAACCACAACGAGAUACCAUCUCAUACCUGUCAGAAUGGCUAUUAAUAAAAAGUUAAAAAACAA